AGCGAACGCUGGCGGCAGGCCUAACAUGCAAGUCGAACGAAGCCUUCGGGCUUAGUGGCGGACGGGUGAGUAACACGUGGGAACGUACCUUUUGGUUCGGAACAACUCAGGGAAACUUGAGCUAAUACCGGAUGAGCCCUUAGGGGGAAAGAUUUAUCGCCGAAAGAGCGGCCCGCGUUAGAUUAGCUAGUUGGUGAGGUAAAGGCUCACCAAGGCAACGAUCUAUAGCUGGUCUGAGAGGAUGAUCAGCCACACUGGGACUGAGACACGGCCCAGAGUCCUUCGGGAGGCAGCAGUGGGGAAUCUUGCGCAAUGGGCGAAAGCCUGACGCAGCCAUGCCGCGUGAAUGAUGAAGGUCUUAGGAUUGUAAAAUUCUUUUACCAGGGACGAUAAUGACGGUACCUGGAGAAAAAGCCCCGGCUAACUUCGUGCCAGCCGCCGCAGUAAAAC
rnacentral:rRNA from 1 species